AUUAUAUAUUAUUUGAAAAAUAUUUUAUAUUUAGUACACAAGUAAACAUGUCAUUAGUAUCUAUCGAAUAAGUAUUUUUUAUUUCUUAGAUAUUUUUUCUCUCACACAGCCUAUGUGAAAUGAAAGGAUAGCUAAUUACUGCAGAAUGUCGCGAUCCACAAUUCCCGGUUACAAAAUUUUACAGCGAUUGUUAUUAUAAAAUUCUCUCCAUGAAAAAAACGAAAGAAUUAAUUCGCAAUUUCCCGACAGGCACAAACAAAGCUGCCACGGACUUUCUGCGACGUGUUUUUAGACAAUACAGGAAGUGAAGGAGAGCGAAGGAGAGAAGGAGACGCUGUUCUAAACGCAAACUUAUGCAACUGGACGUGACGUUUCAAUUCGUAGGUUUCCAAGCCGGAGAAAUGAAUAUUUUCGAUCUGCGCUGUCGAUAAAACACCUCGUAGUUCGAUCGUGCUCACGUCCUCCCAGGAAUCCUCCCGAUCUCAUUGUUCGUGGGCAACAGGGCAGAAAGCGGCGCUUCCGGUUUCAGGUUGAGUUGCACGACGGUCAGACGAACGCGGACAGGCCUGGCUGCAUCCUGACUCCCCAGCGCCGACACGCCGGGACCCGCGGAAAAUUGUCGUGGCAACGGGAAGCGGAUAAGUCGCCGCGCGGAACCGGAAGUCGCCGUGGGAUCGCCGCACGGGAGCCUGAAAACACCGGGCAAAACCUUCGCGCUACCUGGGAACCGUCGAUUAGCUACACGCGCGCCUGUAUAUUUUUCGCCUGUCUCGUGGGUAAUUGUGUGCCAUGCGUGUGUGUACGCGCGCGUGCGUGUGCGUACAGUCAUCACGCCGUACAUAAAGGUCGGUUUACAUCAGCAGUACCAUCAUUGCUAACAACAUGUGUGUUCCUGACAGUGUUACUGACCAAAUGUAAGAUUGUCUCACAUAAAAUUGCUGAAAACAACAGUUUCCAACAAGUUAUACAACACAAGUUCAUCACAUUUUGCUAUUAAUUUCGCCAUUUUGCACUAAAAAGUUUUCAUAAUAUCUGUUCUCAACAUUUUACGGAAAAUAAAUGCCGUUGACAGAAGUUACUUAUUUCCAUAACACGCUGAUAGUUUCAUUACUGACCAAAUGUAAAAUUGUCUCACAUAAAAUUGCUGAAAACAACAGUUUCCAACAAGUUAUACAACACAAGUUCAUCACAUUUUGCUAUUAACUUCGCCAUUUUGCACUAAAAAGUUUUCAUAAUAUCUGUUCUCAACAUUUUACGGAAAAUAAAUGCCGUUGACAGAAGUUACUUAUUUCCAUAACACGCUUAUAGUUUCAUUACUGACCAAAUGUAAAAUUGUCUCACAUAAAAUUGCUGAAAACAACAGUUUCCAACAAGUUAUACAACACAAGUUCAUCACAUUUUGCUAUUAACUUCGCCAUUUUGCACUAAAAAGUUUUCAUAAUAUCUGUUCUCAAUAUUUUACGGAAAAUAAGUGCCGUUGACAGAAAUUACUUAUUUCAAUAACACGUUGAUAGCUUUAUCACUGAUAUCGUCAGAGACGUAAUUGUCACCUAGCAGUCUAGGUCAAAAGAGAUUGAGAUAAUAAAUGUUAUUAGCGAAAAAUUGAACUAGAUAUGUAUUAAUGACAUUGUUAAUAUUUAUUGUUAUAUUUAUUGUUAAUAACAAAGGUUUUAUCUUGAGUUGACUGAUCGUACUACAAAAAUGACCAAAUUUAUGCAUAGCAUAUAUUUGUUGAUAAUAAUGUUAUUAACCAUUUAAAAUUUCUCAAGUUUGUUGAAAAUAUUUAAGUGUAUCAUUUUUGCCAAUAACAUUGUUAUCAGCAGUCUAAUCGUGAUAAGUAAUGUUUCUGACACUGUCGGUGUUUCUGUUUUCCACACUGUUAAAAGCAUUUUCUGUUCAGAAAUAUUCAAUGAAUUGUUUUCUGGAGAACAUAGUUUUGCUAAAAAUAUUUUCGUUACUAGUUCUUUGCUAUUAACUAUUGUUAAUUGCUACUUUCUCGAUGUGAAACAAUCUUAAUAAACGGACACACAGGUAUGCGUGUGUGUGUGUGUGUGUGUGUGCACGACGGCUGUCAGAGGUACAGCACGCGACACAGCACGAUCCGCACAAUAUACGCAUAUAACUGCGCAGGAGCUUCUUGAAUCGUGAGAAAAUAAAAAUUAUCGCUAUUCAGAGGAUCCAUUGAAAAGCGUCUUGUAAUUCUGGGCGGAAAAAACGCGGGAACGGGAAUCGGCCGAAUCAUUAUGUUAUUGCUGUAUUCCGCGAGAGUUGCCUGUGCACGCAGAGAGACGGAUAUAAUAAUAAAGGACUCGCGCGCACGCGCGCGCAUGUGUGUGUGUGUGUGUGCGCGUGAGGACGCAACGCGCACUUAGCCACCACCACAAGGCGGGUCGAUGACUCAUGCUAAUCAUUGUUGCGCGAUGGAAAAUGUCGACUUCGCCUGGCCAUCAAGAAAAGCGCACGAUCGUCGACUUCGUCUGCGGGUAGCUCCGGCUUCUGCGAGCGUAAUAAAGUGAUCGGUGGACUGAAUGAAGUGGCGGCACGUCAGGCCCAAUUAAGCGGCCGAAUCAACGGCACGUCAGUGGACGCAACAUUCGGAAGAUUGAACGCCGUUCGCGAUUAGGAGAGAGCGCGUUUGGCGAAAACACUCGGAGAGGAUCGACGAUAGUUGCAUGGCAACCGGACUAUUUUGCGCUAACGUGGGGGAAAGAGAGAGGGAGACAGGCACUGACACGAGUUUGAUCCACAUCCAGAAGUAUCUCGUGGGCGACGCUGACGUCACGUUGACCAAUGACUUCUCUCUGGCCGAGUGAGGUCCUUGAGGAAUAGAUACGGCCACUUCUGCGGCGACACCAGCGGUUUCACAUCGUCGACUU